rnacentral:rRNA from 1 species
GAAUCAUGGCUCAGGACGAACGCUGGCGGCGCGCCUAACACAUGCAAGUCGAACGGUGAAGAGGAGCUUGCUCCUCGGAUCAGUGGCGGACGGGUGAGUAACACGUGAGCAACCUGGCUCUAAGAGGGGGACAACAGUUGGAAACGACUGCUAAUACCGCAUGAUGUAUCGGGAUGGCAUCUUCCUGAUACCAAAGAUUUUAUCGCUUAGAGAUGGGCUCGCGU